CUGUGCCUCCCGUCGCCGUCGCCGUCGGGCUGAGGGAAAACGGAGGUUCGUAGUGGAGUGAGAGAGAGAGAGCAAAGGCGCGACAGAGAAGGGAGGUGUUUCGCGCUACCGUCGCCACCGAUUUGCCGCCGCUGAAGCUUCCCGUGACGCCAUCAAUCUGAGGUUGAACCGUCGUCGCCGGAGUUACCACCGCCUCGUGCCACCACCGCUUCUCACCGCCGAGGGGAAGCCUUGUCUACGUUGCUGCCUCAGUCGCCGGUGAGUUGUGCACCGCCACCAGUGUCGAAGACAGCGCCAGCCUUGUUCUGAUUUCAAUUCUCCUAUUCUUGAAAUUUCGUUGCUGGUUUACUGUUCGAAAAAGGCAUAAUUGAUGUUGAGAUCGUUGUUGUUCUUGCUCCGAGAGAACUGAUGUCACCGUUGCUGCUGUUGGUUCCGAAUCCUAUUACAUUGAUUCUGGUUUGCUCUUCUCCUU